CGCAUCUGUGCAUGCAGCAUAUCAAUAAGCGGAGGAAAAGAAACUAACAAGGAUUCCCCUAGUAACGGCGAGUGAAGCGGGAAGAGCUCAAAUUUGAAGUCUUAAAGGGUUUCCCUUUACGAAUUGUAGUUUAAAGAAGUGUUUUCUGUUGAGGUUUUGGUAAAAGUUCUUUGGAAUAGGACAUCAUAGAGGGUGAGAAUCCCGUAUUUGACCUUUACUUUCAACUUUGUGAUACACUUUCAAAGAGUCGGAUUGUUUGGGAAUGCAGUCCAAAAUGGGUGGUAAAUUCAUCUAAAGCUAAAUAUUGGCGAGAGACCGAUAGCGAACAAGUACCGUGAGGGAAAGAUGAAAAGAACUUUGAAAAGAGAGUUAAACAGUACGUGAAAUUGUCAAAAGGGAAGUGUUUGACACCAGUGUUGUUUUUCUGAAAAUCAAUUAAAGAACUGUUUAUGCUAAGCUGUUUAGACUUUAUCAGCUAUCUGUUUAGUUUUGAGCUUUUCUUUAAUACACUUUUCAGUUAACAAGUCAACAUCAAUUUCUUUUGCUGUAAAAAAGCUUGAGGAAGGUGGCUUGAGAUUCGUCUUAAGUGUUUAUAGCCUCUUGCCUAUGCAGUCGGAGAGAUUGAGGUCUGCAGCGUAGAUCCUUCGGGGCUAAAUGCAUUUGUGCUAAGUUAUAGCAUUUUAUAGACAACUUGUUGACUAUGAUUUGUCUUGUAGCUUACUCGCUUAUGUUAUUUUACCUACGCUUAGGAUGUUGAAUCUGUGCGAGACUAC
rnacentral:rRNA from 1 species